rnacentral:rRNA from 1 species
ACGGAGGGUGCAAGCGUUAUCCGGAUUCACUGGGUUUAAAGGGUGCGUAGGUGGGCAGGUAAGUCCGCGGUGAAAUCCCCGAGCUUAACUUGGGAACUGCCGUUGAUACUAUCUGUCUUGAAUAUCGUGGAGGUAAGCGGAAUAUGUCAUGUAGCGGUGAAAUGCUUAGAGAUGACAUAGAACACCAAUUGCGAAGGCAGCUUGCUACACGAUAAUUGACACUGAGGCACGAAAGCGUGGGGAGCAAACAGGAUUAGAUACCCUGGUAGUCCACGCCCUAAACUAUGGAUACUCGACAUCAGCGAUACACAGUUGGUGUCUGAGCGAAAGCAUUAAGUAUCCCACCUGGGAAGUACGAUCGCAAGAUUG